GGUGAACGCUGGCGGUAGGCCUAACACAUGCAAGUCGAACGGCAGCACAGUAAGAGCUUGCUCUUACGGGUGGCGAGUGGCGGACGGGUGAGGAAUACAUCGGAAUCUACUUUUUCGUGGGGGAUAACGUAGGGAAACUUACGCUAAUACCGCAUACGACCUACGGGUGAAAGCAGGGGAUCUUCGGACCUUGCGCGAUUGAAUGAGCCGAUGUCGGAUUAGCUAGUUGGCGGGGUAAAGGCCCAUCAAGGCGACGAUCCGUAGCUGGUCUGAGAGGAUGAUCAGCCACACUGGAACUGAGACACGGUCCAGACUCCUACGGGAGGCAGCAGUGGGGAAUAUUGGACAAUGGGCGCAAGCCUGAUCCAGCCAUACCGCGUGGGUGAAGAAGGCCUUCGGGUUGUAAAGCCCUUUUGUUGGGAAAGAAAAGCAGCAGGUUAAUACCCCGCUGUUCUGACGGUACCCAAAGAAUAAGCACCGGCUAACUUCGUG
rnacentral:rRNA from 1 species